CACGUAGGGACCGAGCGUUGUCCGGAUUUAUUGGGCGUAAAGAGCUCGUAGGCGGUUCAGCAAGUCGGGUGUGAGAACUCUGGGCUCAACCCAGAGACGCCACCCGAGACUGCGGUGACUAGAGUCCGGUAGGGGAGUGGGGAAUUCCUGGUGUAGCGGUGAAAUGCGCAGAUAUCAGGAGGAACACCGGUGGCGAAGGCGCCACUCUGGGCCGGCACUGACGCUGAGGAGCGAAAGCGUGGGUAGCAAACAGG
rnacentral:rRNA from 1 species